UACGAAGGGGGCUAGCGUUGUUCGGAAUUACUGGGCGUAAAGCGUAUGUAGGCGGAUCGUUAAGUCGGGGGUGAAAUCCCGAGGCUCAACCUCGGAACUGCCUUCGAUACUGGCGAUCGUUCGAGUCCGGGAGAGGUGAGUGGGAACUCCGAGUGUAGAGGUGAAAUUCGUAGAUAUUCGGAAGAACACCAGUGGCGAAGGCGGCUCACUGGCCCGGUACUGACGCUGAAAUACGAAAGC
rnacentral:rRNA from 1 species